ACACACACACACACACACACAAAACACACCUUUACUAUAUACACGAUUAGGACGUCGAUGCCAUAGUCUAGGUACCAUUAGUUCAAGUUCAUCAAGUCGACGUUCUAGCAACAAAUACAAGCUCAAGAACUCCUCACUAUAGCUACAAAUAACCAACCAAGUCGACGAUCUGACCACUCCGCUCCCUCUCCCUCUCUCUCUCUCUCUCUCCCUCCCUUCCGUCCGCGGCUUCACAAUGGAGGGGUAUCAAGGCGCUCUCACGUCCAGAAGGCUUCGUCGGUUACAUUAAUGCCACGCGGAGCCACCUGUCACGUACCUGUUCAUUGUGCGGGGAGGAAGGACCGCGCACCUGGUAGAGAAGAGGAGGAGAAAGAAGAAAUGACAGUAGUAGUAGUAGUAAUAGUAGUAGUAGUAGUAGUAGUAGAUAUAUGUAAGUAGUCGAUAGAUAUAAGAAGAAAGAUUACGUCUCAGAAUGGAAAUGAAUGAAUGAAUGAAUGAAUGAAGGAAGGAAGGAAGGAAGGAACAGCAAGGAAAAGGGAACAGCAGAGUAGAUUAGGAGGAAGAGGAGGAGGAAGAAGAGGAAGAAAAAGGAUAAAACUGGAUAGGAAGAGAAACAUAGAGAAGAAAUGCUUGCCUUAGAGAGAGAUAGACAGAGAAAAAGAGACAGAAAUAAACAGACAGAAAAACAAACACAGACAUACAUACAGACACACAGACAGAGAGACAGAGAGGAUGACAGACAGCAAGAACUCCCCCAUCCACACUGACCCUCAGAUCGCAUUCUCCUGAGGGACGGAUGUAUGGCAGCUCGUUGAAGUGUGUGGACCGACAGUGCCUUGAAUGGGAGGGGCGUGAAGGGCAUCUGAAGGGUCGUUACCAGGCGCCGGGGAGAGAGAGAGGGAGAGAGAGAGAGAGAUUGAGGAGGUGAGCGGUGAUAGGAAUCGUGUGAGGGGAAGGAAGAGGAGGAGGAGGAGGAGGAGGAAGAGUUAGUGAAUGGAGAGGAAGGAAGGAAGGAAGGUUAAUGAAUAGGAUGAGGAGGAGGAGGAAAGGAGGGAAGGAUGGAGGAAGGAAAAAGAGGGUAGGAAAGGAGGAAGGAAGGAAGGAGGAAUGCUGGGCCGAGAGGAAGGAAGGAAGGAAGAAAGGAAAGAAGAAGAAAUAAGAAGAAAAGAGAAAAGAAGACCUCCUCCUCCUCCUCCUCCUCCUUCUCCUCCUCCGAUAGGUCUUCUGGUGUCUGUUCUUCCUAUGUAUUUCUGUGUAUUCCUCCUCCUCCUCCUCUUUUUCCUCUCGCGGGUCUUCUAAGAGGUCAUAGAGAAGAUGGUGGUCAGGUCAGGAAGGUCAGAAGGAAGGUAAGGUCAUUCAUAAAGUGUGGAUGAAUUCAUCCUACCUUUGACCUCAUGAAAAGGGAGAGAGGGUAUGACCUUCCCCCCUCCCCCCCUUGAGCAUGACCUCCCCCGUCUCCCUCCUUUGAAGCACAGGGCGAGGGGCGUUUGGUUGACCUUGUUUGGUGGUCGGUUGGGGUGGUGGUCAACCGUGUUUGGGCCUGGAUGACAUUGCAGUGGGUUGAGUCUUGGGUUCUGGCUUGCGUGUGUGUGUGUGUGUGUGUGUGUGUGUGUGUGUGUGUGUGUGUGUGUGUGUGUGUUUGGGGUGCAUGAGUGUGCGAUUCUCUUACGGGUGUUAGGUCCCAAAAAAGUUCCGUGUAAACAACUUCUACUCUUAGCACAUAACACUUAUAGUAAGGAAGAUACGCUUGCUAACAGAUGCUGAAUACCUCCUAUACUAAGACACAGAGAGGGGGAUCAGCCAUCUUAAGAGGGUCGGAUGCUGGGUCAGAAUGUGUCUUUACUUACGCAUGAGGUCAGUGAGAAGACUAGCAAAGGCUCUGAUUAAGAUAGGGAGGUCAGGAACUUAAGAAUCGGCUAUCUGUAUGUGCUCAUCAGGUAGCUUUUAAGAGGGUCGGAUGCUGGGUCAAAAUGUGUCUUUACUUACGCAUGAGGUCAGUAAAAAGACUAACAAAGGGUCUGAUUAA